AGGGCUCAUGCAACUCUACCUUGGUUCAGCCAGUAUUGUACCGGUCCAUACAAACCCUGCUGUCACCAUAGUUGGAAGAGGAAGCCGUAGGCGGCUCGAAGUUUUCAUCGAUGGGUUCGAUUUGUGAUGUCCGUGAGAUGCUUGGCUGUUGCCUUGUGUUUGAAUGUUUUACUAUGAUGGACUUCGUGGCGGUUAUGCGAGGAAACUAAGCUGAAGCCCUUGCAAAAUUUGUGAUAUGAGAAGAGGUUGAUUGGCUUUGGUGCUGAGAACCGCCGGCUCGAAGUGAAAGUGCAGAACAAAGCAGCCGCUUUCGUGGUGGGGAGGUUGAAAAGCUGCUGUACGUAGGGAUUUCCUGCAAUUGGCAGGAGCAGAAACUGCAUUCAGACUAUGCGGGUCAAAUCAGGACCGAGAGUGGGAACGGAGAUUUCAGAGAUGGAGAGAUCUGAUUGAGGUCCAGCAAAUCUCAAACUCCUUGUACCAUUUAAUAGGGUGAGUCAGAUAGAUUAACAAUACAGAGAAGAAAAGGAAAACAGAAUCAUAAGUAAAGGUUUCUUGUACCUUCCUUAGAUAAAUUGGUGAAGGUGGGACUGGGAGAGGAGCUAGGGCAGCUGUAAAGGGAUUUUGUUUAUUGAUAUUAUCUAGAAAUUCAAAUAUUUUAAGGGCA